ACAUGUACGGAAUCCUUUAGAGAUAGAGGAGUGCUCGAAAGAGAGCCGUAACACAGGUGCUGCAUGGCUGUCGUCAGCUCGUGUCGUGAGAUGUUGGGUUAAGUCCCGCAACGAGCGCAACCCUUGUCAUUAGUUGCUACAUUCAGUUGGGGCACUCUAAUGAGACUGCCGGUGACAAACCGGAGGAAGGUGGGGAUGACGUCAAGUCCUCAUGGCCCUUAUGGGUGGGGCUACACACGUCAUACAAUGGAUGGUACAAAGGGUCGCCAACCCGCGAGGGGGAGCCAAUCCCAUAAAGCCAUUCGUAGUCCGGAUCGCAGUCUGCAACUCGACAGCGUGAAGUCGGAAUCGCUAGUAAUCGUGGAUCAGAAUGUCACGGUGAAUACGUUCCCGGGUCUU
rnacentral:rRNA from 1 species